rnacentral:rRNA from 1 species
AGGAAGGCAGCAGGCGCGUAAAUUACCCAAUCCUGACUCAGGGAGGUAGUGACAAGAAAUAACGGACCGAAGCCUAUGUUUCGGGAUUGCAAUGAGUAGAAUUUAAACCCCUUUACGAGGAUCAAUUGGAGGGCAAGUCUGGUGCCAGCAGCCGCGGUAAUUCCAGCUCCAAUAGCGUAUAUUAAAGUUGUUGCAGUUAAAAAGCUCGUAGUUGGAUUUCUGAGAGGGUGCCAAUGUCCGCUCGAUUGCGUGUGCAGCGGCGCCCUCUCAUCCUUCUGUUAACGUUUCUUGGUAUUCAGUUACUGGUUUCGGGCUCAGAUAUUUUACC